rnacentral:rRNA from 1 species
AGAGGGUGCGAGCGUUGUCCGGAAUCACUGGGCGUAAAGGGCGCGUAGGUGGCCUGGUAAGUAGGGGGUGAAAUCUCGUGGCUCAACUGCGAGGCUGCCUCCUAAACUGUCAGGCUCGAGCAGAGUAGAGGCAGGUGGAAUUCCCGGUGUAGCGGUGGAAUGCGUAGAGAUCGGGAAGAACAUCGGUGGCGAAGGCGGCCUGCUGGGCUCUUGCUGACACUGAGGCGCGACAGCGUGGGGAGCAAACAGGAUUAGAUACCCUGGUAGUCCACGCCGUAAACGAUGGGUACUAGGCGCCGGGGGGAGCGACCCCUUCGGUGCCGUCGCUAACGCAAUAAGUACCCCGCCUGGGGAGUACGGCCGCAAGGCUG